CUUGAACGCUGGCGGCAGGCCUAACACAUGCAAGUCGAACGAGUGGCGGACGGGUGAGUAAUGUCUGGGAAAAUGCCUGAUAGAGGGGGAUAACUACUGGAAACGGUAGCUAAUACCGCAUACCAUCAGAUGUGCCCAGAUUGGAUUAGCUUGUUGGGGGGGUACAGGCUCACCAAGGCGACGAUACCUAGCUGGUCUGAGAGGAUGACCAGCCACAAUGAAACUGAUACACGGUCCAGACUCCUACGGGAGGCUGUAGUGGGGAAUAUUGCACAAUGGGCGCAAGCCUGAUGCAGCCAUGCCGCGUUUAUGAAGAAGGCCUUCGGGUUGUAAAGUACUUUCAGCGGUGAGGCGUUACCCGCAGAAGAAGCACCGGCUAACUCCGUGCCAGCAGCCGCGGUAAUUC
rnacentral:rRNA from 1 species